AUUGAACGCUGGCGGCAGGCCUAACACAUGCAAGUCGGACGGUAGCACAGAGGAGCUUGCUCCUCGGGUGACGAGUGGCGGACGGGUGAGUAAUGUCUGGGGAUCUGCCCGAUAGAGGGGGAUAACCACUGGAAACGGUGGCUAAUACCGCAUAACGUCGCAAGACCAAAGAGGGGGACCUUCGGGCCUCUCACUAUCGGAUGAACCCAGAUGGGAUUAGCUAGUAGGCGGGGUAACGGCCCACCUAGGCGACGAUCCCUAGCUGGUCUGAGGGGAUGACCAGCCACACUGGAACUGAGACACGGUCCAGACUCCUACGGGAGGCAGCAGUGGGGAAUAUUGCACAAUGGGCGCAAGCCUGAUGCAGCCAUGCCGCGUGUAUGAAGAAGGCCUUCGGGUUGUAAAGUACUUUCAGCGGGGAGGAAGGCGAUGUGGUUAAUAACCGCGUCGAUUGACGUUACCCGCAGAAGAAGCACCGGCUAACUCCGUGCCAGCAGCCGCGGUAAUACGGAGGGUGCAAGCGUUAAUCGGAAUUACUGGGCGUAAAGCGCACGCAGGCGGUCUGUUAAGUCAGAUGUGAAAUCCCCGGGCUUAACCUGGGAACUGCAUUUGAAACUGGCAGGCUUGAGUCUCGUAGAGGGGGGUAGAAUUCCAGGUGUAGCGGUGAAAUGCGUAGAGAUCUGGAGGAAUACCGGUGGCGAAGGCGGCCCCCUGGACGAAGACUGACGCUCAGGUGCGAAAGCGUGGGGAGCAAACAGGAUUAGAUGCCCUGGUAGUCCACGCCGUAAACGAUGUCGACUUGGAGGUUGUUCCCUUGAGGAGUGGCUUCCGGAGCUAACGCGUUAAGUCGACCGCCUGGGGAGUACGGCCGCAAGGUUAAAACUCAAAUGAAUUGACGGGGGCCCGCACAAGCGGUGGAGCAUGUGGUUUAAUUCGAUGCAACGCGAAGAACCUUACCUACUCUUGACAUCCAGAGAACUUAGCAGAGAUGCUUUGGUGCCUUCGGGAGCUCUGAGACAGGUGCUGCGUGGCUGUCGUCAGCUCGUGUUGUGAAAUGUUGGGUUAAGUCCCGCAACGAGCGCAACCCUUAUCCUUUGUUGCCAGCGAUUCGGUCGGGAACUCAAAGGAGACUGCCGGUGAUAAACCGGAGGAAGGUGGGGAUGACGUCAAGUCAUCAUGGCCCUUACGAGUAGGGCUACACACGUGCUACAAUGGCGCAUACAAAGAGAAGCGACCUCGCGAGAGCAAGCGGACCUCAUAAAGUGCGUCGUAGUCCGGAUCGGAGUCUGCAACUCGACUCCGUGAAGUCGGAAUCGCUAGUAAUCGUGGAUCAGAAUGCCACGGUGAAUACGUUCCCGGGCCU
rnacentral:rRNA from 1 species